UCUGAUUUCGCUUUUGAUGUGUCUUUCUUAUGUAGGGAUAGAAUAAGCCUCAACCUUUCAUACCAUUAAGUAUUGAAAAAGGAGUUACUGCCAUUACAUUGGCGUUGCGUGGGCGCAUAGCUACACUUAGCUUUACAACUUUUCAUAGCGAAUGAGAUGUCAAAUCUUUCGUAUUGUAUUGAGUACAUUGAUGCGUCUAAUUGUACUUAGAUGGGAACUCCAUCUCUUAACACAUAUUUGUCAUCUUGCUUUAGACAAAACAACGAAUCUCUCUUUAGAACAAAGACUAAUCAUGGGAGUAUAUGUAGGCCUUACUAGUUAUAGAGCGCCUAAGCCGAUUGAUGGAAAAUCAUCAUCAAUACAGUCAUCGAGUGCCUUAUCGAGACCAUGUCUUCCCAAGAUCUUUUUCUUCGGAUGUUGGUACAUAUUGCCAUCUCUUGAUCCAUCAAGAGUCCAUGUAAAUCCGGAAUGAACACGCAAAGGCAUAAUUCACCAUAUCCCUUCCAAAUCAAGUAGAGUCCAUGUGCGUUUCAAUACAUUUAGCAAACGCAUGCUCUUGUGGUUUGGAGCCACUUGAUUCGGAUGAAUGAAGUCCGUUUAAGAUCUUCAUGUAUAUCUCUGAUCCCAUAGAGAUGUUAUUAUGACCACAUUCAUAGGCUGCUUGUUCAGUUAUUCUCAUCGUAGUUGAUCCCAGUACGUGUUAGUGAAAGACCUUGCGCCAUAAGGUGAGUCUAAGCUCUUACUCUCACUACGCUAUCUAACAAAUGCAUAGUUGAUAGGGUUUAGCUUGCGGUGUCGGCAUCACCUGCCCAAGGACCUAUCUCUUUGUUAAUGCUGGAUCGCAUCUUUCCAUUAGGCCAAUCAACUAAGUUGAUAUCCAUCAACGAAAGGUGGUUCGAUAGUAGACUCAUUAUCUCACGUCCUCAUGUACACUAGUGUAAUACUUGUAGAGAUCUCUAUAUGGAUUGGAUUUGACAUUGAGGCGUCCCCCAACGAUAAUCACAAUUCAGACUUCAUGAGACGGAUUUGAGUAUCACUGAUCAAUGGAUCAGGUUGUGCCAAGCUCGCUUUCUUUCUAGUGUAAGACAAUAUCGAACCUAAGGGCCUCCCUCCUUUUAGGGAACCACACGGCCUUGUGAGACCAAUUUUGCCACUAUAUGGCGUCACCAUAUCACCAUCCCUGGUGAUGGCGUCAAGACCAACACUUUUUGGUCGCGCCAUGUCCUUUUGUAGGACAUCAAUCCUUGCAGACAUAUUUGCAGCAUGUGAUCUCGUCACUUUAACACUAUAAGCAUUUGGGAUCAAGAUGAGACUUAGUGGGGACAAACCACGACAAUUCACGUCGUUCCACUUGAACACUUGUUUUCUUAUCUCCCCCUAACGGCGGGAAUAUUGUCUCAUCAAAGUGACAAUCCGCAAUUUAGCGGUGAAUGAGAUCGCCUGACAAGGUUCCUACAUAUGCGGAUUAUAGGUGGAGGUUCAUAUCCAACCUAAACUUAUUCAUCUCAAAUGACCCAUCAUUGUACGCAGUGGCAAUGCGAUUUGGCACCUAGAAAUAACAUCUAGCCGAGCUCAAGGAUUGGAGAUCCGUUUCAAUCCGUCCGAGCUCAAGGAUUACAAUUUCGUGUCAAUCCUGGUACACAGUCACGAGCUGUAGUACAACAAAAUUCAAUGAUGGUGGGUCGUAGAUGAAUAGUAAAGUUGCAUGCAAAUAUUACAUAGCCCCAAAACGCAAUAGAAAGAGUGGUGCGCAUCAAUAAUGUUCGAGCGACAAGCUAAAGUUGCUUGGUCGUAGCCUCGGUGAGACCGUAUUGCGUGUGAACAUGGGGUACAUGACACUUCAACUUACAUCCCGAUGAACUUCUUUAAAGAAUGGGUAGUGAGCCCGUAGAAGUAUAAGCAGUAUAAGCAGUAUAAGCAGUAGAUAAUAGUGUAACACGUGACCAGUGUGUUAACACGUCAACCAACACCAUAAAGCAUAAAAAGGUGUCCGCAAGUUGGUUGUAUCUAUCUACAUAGUUUGAUGUAAGAAUAGAAUAUUCACUUUUGUAUUAUUUAGCGUAGGAGGGUCUCACUCCUUAUUUAGCUAAAGAAUAAGCUUUCAAAACGAGCAAUGAGCAUUGCAGGGGGCCAAUGCGACAUCGAGGAAAGGCCAGUGCACCUCAAUUGCUUGAGGAAUUGACCGGACGACCUCCAGGAAGUUGGAGUCGUGUUCGGGUGACGUCAAUGUCCCCCGGGUCACCACCAUGCUUCAUGGUGAUGCUAGAUCUCGAAUGUCUUCGUUUUGAGCGGAAGAAUGGAUGUCCAUGAGAAUUUCUCAAAAUUUGGACCAUUAUAUCUCUUCCAGGUUGACCAAUUUGGUCAAACCAAAGCCUAUAUGUGUCGGUGUCCCAAAUAUCAUGUUUGGCGACAAUAUGGGAUUCGAUAUUCGAAUCGUAGUGACAUACAGUUCACUAGAUUAACGCAUGAAUUUCUCCAAGAUGCGCUUUAGUUCGCAUUCAUGAGGAGGUAUACACAAAAUAAUUCUUGUUUUUCAAAUGAAAACCAUUAGCAUGAAUGUCUUUAAAGCUCAACAUGGUUCCUUAGAAUGUUGUGGAUAGUUCCACUAUCUGCGAAGCACUCAAUGUCUCUAUGAGACAUAACUUCAAGGAGUAGAUAGGCGAGUAAAUAGUUCUACUUGAACCAUUUAGAAGAAUUGAAAGAAGUUACGAAAAGCUGCAAUCCCGAGAGUGCAUAAAAAUUUCCGCGCAGAAUGAUCUUUGCGCACUAAAACAGCCAUAACUUCUUCGUUAAAAUAGAUAUGGACGAACCGUGAAAAGUUCUGAAAACUAGACUCAUAGAGCUUUCCAAUGAUAUAAAGCUCACUGUCUGGUUCAUCCAGAGCUGUUCACAAAGCUCAAACGAAGUUGACUGUCCAGAAGGGACAGAUUGCUGUUUUUCACAGAUUUGGCAUGUGCGAAGCUGUGAAGCUUACAUCCCGAUGAACUUCUUUAAAGAAUAGGUAGUGAGCCCGUAGAAGUAUAAGCAGCAUAAGCAGUAGAUAAUAGUGUAACACGUGACCAGUGUGCUAACACUUCAACCAACACCAUAAAUCAUAAAAAGGUGUCCGCAAGUUGGUUGUAUCUAUCUACAUAGUUUGAUGUAAGAAUAGAAUGUUCACUUUUGUGUUAUUUAGCGUAAGAGGGUCUCACUCCUUAUUUAGCUAAAGAAUAGGCUUUCAAAACGAGCAAUGAGCAUUGCAGGGGGCCAAUGCGACAUCGAGGAAAGGCCGGUGCACCUCAAUUGCUUGAGGAAUUGACCGGACGACCUCCAGAAAGUUGGAGUCGUGUUCGGGUGACCUCAAUGUCCCCCGGGUCACCACCAUGCUUCAUGGUGAUGCUAGAUCUCGAAUGUCUUCGUUUUGAGCGGAAGAAUGGAUGUCCAUGAGAUUUUCUCAAAAUUUGGACCAUUAUAUCUCUUCCAGGUU
rnacentral:lncRNA from 1 species